rnacentral:rRNA from 1 species
UUGGGAACUCAUUGGCUUCGAAGUCGUAGGAACUCCGAAGUUAAGCGAGUUAAGGGUUAGAGCAAUUCUAGGAUGGGUGACCCACUGGGAAAUUGCUCGUGAGUUCCCAAA